rnacentral:tRNA from 1 species
UGGGGUGUAGCCAAGCGGUAAGGCACGGGGUUUUGAUCCCCGCAUCCCAGGUUCGAAUCCUGGCACCCCAGCCA